rnacentral:rRNA from 1 species
UACGUAGGGUGCAAGCGUUAUCCGGAUUCACUGGGUUUAAAGGGUGUGUAGGCGGACAGUUAAGUCAGCGGUGAAAUCUCCGGGCUCAACCCGGAAACUGCCAUUGAUACUAUCUGUCUUGAAUAUUGUUGAGGUGGGCGGAAUAUGUCAUGUAGCGGUGAAAUGCUUAGAUAUGACAUAGAACACCGAUGGCGAAGGCAGCUCACUAAACAAUGAUUGACGCUGAGGCACGAAAGCGUGGGGAUCAAACAGG